CAAGUCAAACGGGAUGUAGCAAUACAUUCAGUGGCGAACGGGUGAGUAACGCGUGGAUGAUCUACCUAUGAGAUGGGGAUAACUAUUAGAAAUAGUAGCUAAUACCGAAUAAGGUCAGUUAAUUUGUUAAUUGAUGAAAGGAAGCCUUUAAAGCUUCGCUUGUAGAUGAGUCUGCGUCUUAUUAGCUAGUUGGUAGGGUAAAUGCCUACCAAGGCAAUGAUAAGUAACCGGCCUGAGAGGGUGAACGGUCACACUGGAACUGAGAUACGGUCCAGACUCCUACGGGAGGCAGCAGCUAAGAAUCUUCCGCAAUGGGCGAAAGCCUGACGGAGCGACACUGCGUGAAUGAAGAAGGUCGAAAGAUUGUAAAAUUCUUUUAUAAAUGAGGAAUAAGCUUUGUAGGAAAUGACAAAGUGAUGACGUUAAUUUAUGAAUAAGCCCCGGCUAAUUACGUGCCAGCAGCCGCGGUAAUACGUAAGGGGCGAGCGUUGUUCGGGAUUAUUGGGCGUAAAGGGUGAGUAGGCGGAUAUAUAAGUCUAUGCAUAAAAUACCACAGCUCAACUGUGGACCUAUGUUGGAAACUAUAUGUCUAGAGUCUGAUAGAGGAAGUUAGAAUUUCUGGUGUAAGGGUGGAAUCUGUUGAUAUCAGAAAGAAUACCGGAGGCGAAGGCGAACUUCUGGGUCAAGACUGACGCUGAGUCACGAAAGCGUAGGGAGCAAACAG
rnacentral:rRNA from 1 species